rnacentral:lncRNA from 1 species
AAAAUUGUCAAAAUCAUAAAAUAACAAUCAUAAUAUCUCAUUCUAAUCGCUAUAUAUUUAUUAUUUUUCUUCUUUGUUGCGUCUAUUCCGGUCUUGACAAGGCGAGCGUUGGGGCCAUCCAAAUGCUAUUCGUAUGAAUGAUUUGGUUUGGUUUGAUGAUGGCAUUUAUAAUAUAUGAAACAUGGCAAAGCCACAGUUUCCCAUCAUGUGUUUGAUGGGGUCAA